GACGAACGCUGGCGGCGUGGAUUAGGCAUGCAAGUCGAACGGUAGGAUACCUUCGGGUAUCUGAGAGUGGCGAACGGGUGAGUAACACGUAGGUGAUCUACCCUCAAGAUUGGGACAACCCAGGGAAACUUGGGCUAAUACCGGAUGAAAGCAGCAGUGAUGUUGUUUGAAAGGUGGCGUAAGCUGCCGUUUGGGGAUGAGCCUGCGCUCUAUUAGUUAGUUGGCGGGGUAAAGGCCCACCAAGGCGAUGAUAGAUAGGCGGCCUUAACGGGUGGUCGCCCACACUGGGAUUGAGAUACGGCCCAGACUCCUACGGGAGGCAGCAGUCGAGAAUAGUCUACAAUGGCCGAAAGGCUGAUAGUGCGACGCCGCGUGAACGAAGAAGCCCUUCGGGGUGUAAAGUUCUUUUAUAUGUGAGCAGUGCUUCUUAUAUUAAGAGUAUGGGGAGAGAGAUAUUAGCAUAUGAAUAAGCAACGGCUAACUCCGUG
rnacentral:rRNA from 1 species